ensembl:snoRNA
ACAGUCUGAGAAUUAUCCUAGGAGUGUCAUUUGUCUGGGGGGAGAGAACUGUGUCUACAGUAUUGUGGUACGUUAAGCUUAUUGCCUGCUCUGUUUGUGACGGUGUAAUAAAACCCAAGUGCUCACAAUC